GUUGUGUAGUUUUCUCGGCGGCGAUCCUCGGGCAGAAAUUAAGCCCGGUUCACUGAUCAAGUAAUUAAAGUUGUUAACCAGAAUACUUCCUUGUGUACAGGCACGUCAUCUUUAAUCGUCGAAAUGUUAGUAAAAGCUGUUUUAUGUUCAGAACUAAAUAGCUCUUUAAUUUCUGAUUUCAAAUUUUGUAGCAAAUAUUUAGCGAUGCAAGCUCGAUGGUAUAAAGAUUUAAUAGUAAAAUU
rnacentral:lncRNA from 1 species